CGCUAAGGUUGAACCAAAGUGCUUUUUGUUUUUGGGAAUAAUGUUCAUGCAAGAUGUGUGUGUCCCGCAAAAGGAUGCCACUUCUCGUAUUUGUGGUAAAAAUGACAUUUUUCGAAAGUCUGUAAAUCUAACACGACAAAGUCUGGAACAUGUGCCUUUUGUUCUAUAUCAUGUAUAUAAGCAACUGUGAGUAAUGCAUCUCCGCAUGUUGAGAAAAAGACAAUUGAUAUCAGCAAUUACUAUGAAUGACGCUACUGGAAGUGUAUCACUGACAUUCAGUGCUCUAAGUAGGAAUUUGCUAUGUAAACUUGCACAUUGAUCAAAAUUUUUAUCCCAAUAUGCUGUUGUCUCACUUCAACAAAAACCGGUUGUGACAUUAUCUUAGGACAGGAAUUCAUGACAAGACACCAUAGUAUCAAGUUUUGUUGUCAGCCGUCGAAAUUAAUUAUCUAAAUAUAUUAGUAGUCUAGUUGCUCAAACUGUUGAUCCCCUGAACUAUUUGCAAACUUGAUAUGUGAAUUUUGACAUAUUGCUACAAAAUCAUGGAAGUUCAGUACAGCCGAUAGCAAAGUGCCGUUUGUACCAAUUUCGACGAGUCAUAUUAGUAUUGGCGUU
rnacentral:lncRNA from 1 species